GAAACCCGGUGAUCUAGCCAUGGGCAGGUUGAAGGUUGGGUAACACUAACUGGAGGACCGAACCGACUAAUGUUGAAAAAUUAGCGGAUGACUUGUGGCUGGGGGUGAAAGGCCAAUCAAACCGGGAGAUAGCUGGUUCUCCCCGAAAGCUAUUUAGGUAGCGCCUCGUGAAUUCAUCUCCGGGGGUAGAGCACUGUUUCGGCAAGGGGGUCAUCCCGACUUACCAACCCGAUGCAAACUGCGAAUACCGGAGAAUGUUAUCACGGGAGACACACGGCGGGUGCUAACGUCCGUCGUGAAGAGGGAAACAACCCAGACCGCCAGCUAAGGUCCCAAAGUCAUGGUUAAGUGGGAAACGAUGUGGGAAGGCCCAGACAGCCAGGAUGUUGGCUUAGAAGCAGCCAUCAUUUAAAGAAAGCGUAAUAGCUCACUGGUCGAGUCGGCCUGCGCGGAAGAUGUAACGGGGCUAAACCAUGCACCGAAGCUGCGGCAGCGACACUAUGUGUUGUUGGGUAGGGGAGCGUUCUGUAAGCCUGUGAAGGUGGCCUGUGAGGGUUGCUGGAGGUAUCAGAAGUGCGAAUGCUGACAUAAGUAACGAUAAAGCGGGUGAAAAGCCCGCUCGCCGGAAGACCAAGGGUUCCUGUCCAACGUUAAUCGGGGCAGGGUGAGUCGACCCCUAAGGCGAGGCCGAAAGGCGUAGUCGAUGGGAAACAGGUUAAUAUUCCUGUACUUGGUGUUACUGCGAAGGGGGGACGGAGAAGGCUAUGUUGGCCGGGCGACGGUUGUCCCGGUUUAAGCGUGUAGGCUGGUUUUCCAGGCAAAUCCGGAAAACCAAGGCUGAGGCGUGAUGACGAGGCACUACGGUGCUGAAGCGACAAAUGCCCUGCUUCCAGGAAAAGCCUCUAAGCAUCAGGUAACAUCAAAUCGUACCCCAAACCGACACAGGUGGUCAGGUAGAGAAUACCAAGGCGCUUGAGAGAACUCGGGUGAAGGAACUAGGCAAAAUGGUGCCGUAACUUCGGGAGAAGGCACGCUGAUAUGUAGGUGAAGCGACUUGCUCGUGGAGCUGAAAUCAGUCGAAGAUACCAGCUGGCUGCAACUGUUUAUUAAAAACACAGCACUGUGCAAACACGAAAGUGGACGUAUACGGUGUGACGCCUGCCCGGUGCCGGAAGGUUAAUUGAUGGGGUUAGCGGUAACGCGAAGCUCUUGAUCGAAGCCCCGGUAAACGGCGGCCGUAACUAUAACGGUCCUAAGGUAGCGAAAUUCCUUGUCGGGUAAGUUCCGACCUGCACGAAUGGCGUAAUGAUGGCCAGGCUGUCUCCACCCGAGACUCAGUGAAAUUGAACUCGCUGUGAAGAUGCAGUGUACCCGCGGCAAGACGGAAAGACCCCGUGAACCUUUACUAUAGCUUGACACUGAACAUUGAGCCUUGAUGUGUAGGAUAGGUGGGAGGCUUUGAAGUGUGGACGCCAGUCUGCAUGGAGCCGACCUUGAAAUACCACCCUUUAAUGUUUGAUGUUCUAACGUGGGCCCCUAAUC
rnacentral:rRNA from 1 species